UUACGGCCAUAUCACGUUGAAACACCGGUUCUCGUGCGCUCACUGAAGUUAAGCAACGUCGAGCCUAGUCAGUACCGAGACGCUUGAGAAUACCAGGUGCUGUG